rnacentral:rRNA from 1 species
GACGAACGCUGGCGGCGUGCCUAAUACAUGCAAGUCGAACGCAGUGGGGCCGGGUGCGUAACACGUGGGUACCCUCCCCAUCAGAGGGGGUAACACUUGGACACAGGUGCUAAACCGAUAUUGAUGGAUUGACCCGCGGUGCAUUAGCUAGUUGGUGAGGUAACGGCUCACCAAGGCCACGAUGCAUAGCCGACCGUGGAGGGUGAUCGGCCACACUGGACAUUGGACGCGGACCAGACGCCUCCGGGAGUCAGCAGAAGGGAAUUUUCGGCAAGGGACGAAAGUCGGACCGAGCAACGCCGCGUGAGUGAAGAAGGUUUUCGGAUCGUAAAACUCUGUUGUUAGAGAAGCGGUAUCUAACCAGAAAGCCACGGCUAACGACGUGCCAGCAGCCGCGGUAAUAC